rnacentral:rRNA from 1 species
CGGAGGGGCGUAGCGUUGUUCGGAAUUAACUGGGCGUAAAGACGCACGUAGGCGGACUGGAAAGUUGGGGUGAAAGUACCCGGGGCGUCAACCUCGGAACUGCCUUCAAAACUAAUCAGUCUGGAGUUCGAGAGAGGUGAGUGGAAUUCCGAGUGUAGAGGUGAAAUUCGUAGAUAUUCGGAGGAACACCAGUGGCGAAGGCGGCUCACUGGCUCGAUACUGACGCUGAGGUGCGAAAAGCGUGGGGAGCAAACAGGAUU